GGAAUUUUCCGCAAUGGGCGAAAGCCUGACCGAGCAACGCCGCGUGAGGGAUGAAGGCCUCUGGGCUGUAAACCUCUUUUAUCAAGGAAGAAGAUCUGACGGUACUUGAUGAAUAAGCCACGGCUAAUUCCGUGCCAGCAGCCGCGGUAAUACGGGAGUGGCAAGCGUUAUCCGGAAUUAUUGGGCGUAAAGCGUCCGCAGGCGGUCUGUCAAGUCUGCUGUUAAAGACUGGGGCUCAACCCCAGAAAAGCAGUGGAAACUGCUAGACUUGAGUGUGGUAGAGGUAGAGGGAAUUCCUAGUGUAGCGGUGAAAUGCGUAGAUAUUAGGAAGAACACCAAUGGCGAAGGCACUCUACUGGGCCAUAACUGACACUCAGAGACGACAGCUAGGGGAGCAAAUGGGAUUAGAUACCCCAGUAGUC
rnacentral:rRNA from 1 species